UACGUAGGGGGUAAGCGUUGUCCGGAAUCAUUGGGCGUAAAGAGCGUGUAGGCGGCCCGAUAAGUCCGCUGUGAAAGUCCAGGGCUCAACCCUGGGAUGCCGGUGGAUACUGUCGGGCUCGAGUCCGGAAGAGGCGAGUGGAAUUCCUGGUGUAGCGGUGAAAUGCGCAGAUAUCAGGAGGAACACCAAUGGCGAAGGCAGCUCGCUGGGACGUGACUGACGCUGAGACGCGAAAGCGUGGGGAGCAAACAGG
rnacentral:rRNA from 1 species